UCUCACCCAACGUUGUUUUGGGGUGUUACAGGUACACACAUGAGCGGCGCGGCGGCGCGAGGCGAGGGCGUAGCUCCGUAGUUAGCUCCCUACCACCAAGACCAGAGAUAGAAGUAUCCUAUGUCAGCUUAGUUUAAGGGUAUGGAAAUGAAAUGAUCAAUGUUGUAAUAAUUAUGUUGGAAACUUGAUUGUAUUUGGAAGCUAAAAAGAGACUUAAAGAAUGUAAAUGAAAAGAGUAAUAUGUGAUGUAGAAUGAAUUAAGUGAGUUGAAUGCAUGUAAUAAUUUAGUUGUUUAUGUUUUCGAUACCUUCCUUAUGUAAUCUUUGAUUGAAUAUUGUUCCUGAUUGGAACUUCGCGUAUUGUAUGAUUGUGAUGCCUUAAACGUACAGGGGAGACUCUGUCCGCGGUACAGGAGAAACUCUGUCCGUUCGGCG
rnacentral:lncRNA from 1 species